UACGAAGGGAGCUAGCGUUGUUCGGAGUUACUGGGCGUAAAGGGCGCGUAGGCGGUCUGUCAAGUCGGGAGUGAAAUCCCUGGGCUCAACCCGGGAAUUGCUCUCGAGACUGGCAGGCUAGAGGAUGGGAGAGGUUGGUGGAAUUCCCAGUGUAGAGGUGAAAUUCGUAGAUAUUGGGAAGAACACCGGUGGCGAAGGCGGCCAACUGGACCAUUUCUGACGCUGAGGCGCGAAAGCGUGGGGAGCAAACGGG
rnacentral:rRNA from 1 species